GUUCAAGAAUGUGGAAUGACCUCCCUCAGGAACAAAGGACCAUCACAAACCUCACCACUUUCCAUUCCAAGUGCAGUGUUCAUUUGUUUGGCCUUGCCAUCUCUAAUAUAAACAUAUAGCAACAGACUUCUGGCUUGGUGAUAUUUAGCCAAGGCAUAAACUUCUGAACAAAGAGAUCUGUGAUAAAAAUUUUGACAGACCUUUGACUAUAACAUCACAAACAGCAGCACUAUAGCAACCUCCGUAGAAGUUCCUGUGCCCACAGAAUUUCAAUACGAUCUCCAUGACUGUCGUAGUAAUGAAAGUAUGCAGAAGAUUAGACUGAUACAGAACAUGCGGUAAACACAGUAUGUGACCUUUUCUUCAUGACCAGAAUGCCUCUGUGACCUCAGCCGAUAGGGAUUCAAGGUGAAAAAGUCAAAGCAGUCAAAAUGUCAGAGAUUACGGUGUUGCUGGCUAAAGGAUAUAAAGCAGGAAACAGUAGACAUUUGGAAACUGUUAAAAGACAGCCCUGAUGAAGAGGGGGGAAAGGCAAGGGUCUGCAAGAAGCUGACAGAAGCCUGGGUCUCCAGGAAAUAGACAGGCCCAACUUAUCCCAGGUACCCUAAGUCCUGAGGAAAAUGCUAAG